rnacentral:rRNA from 1 species
UAGGGAAUCUUCCGCAAUGGACGAAAGUCUGACGGAGCAACGCCGCGUGAACGAUGAAGGCCUUCGGGUCGUAAAGUUCUGUUGUUAGGGAAGAACAAGUACCAGAGUAACUGCUGGUACCUUGACGGUACCUAACCAGAAAGCCACGGCUAACUACGUGCCAGCAGCCGCGGUAAUACGUAGGUGGCAAGCGUUGUCCGGAAUUAUUGGGCGUAAAGCGCGCGCAGGUGGUUUCUUAAGUCUGAUGUGAAAGCCCACGGCUCAACCGUGGAGGGUCAUUGGAAACUGGGGAACUUGAGUGCAGAAGAGGAAAGUGGAAUUCCAAGUGUAGCGGUGAAAUGCGUAGAGAUUUGGAGGAACACCAGUGGCGAAGGCGACUUUCUGGUCUGUAACUGACACUGAGGUGCGAAAGCGUGGGGAGCGAACAGGAUUAGAUACCCUGGUAGUCCACGCCGUAAACGAUGAGUGCUAAGUGUUAGAGGGUUUCCGCCUUUAGUGCUGCAGCUAACGC